AAAUUGAAGAGUUUGAUCAUGGCUCAGAUUGAACGCUGGCGGCAGGCCUAACACAUGCAAGUCGAACGGUAACAGGAAGCAGCUUGCUGCUUCGCUGACGAGUGGCGGACGGGUGAGUAAUGUCUGGGAAACUGCCUGAUGGAGGGGGAUAACUACUGGAAACGGUGGCUAAUACCGCAUAACGUCGCAAGACCAAAGAGGGGGACCUUCGGGCCUCUUGCCAUCAGAUGUGCCCAGAUGGGAUUAGCUUGUUGGUGAGGUAACGGCUCACCAAGGCGACGAUCCCUAGCUGGUCUGAGAGGAUGACCAGCCACACUGGAACUGAGACACGGUCCAGACUCCUACGGGAGGCAGCAGUGGGGAAUAUUGCACAAUGGGCGCAAGCCUGAUGCAGCCAUGCCGCGUGUAUGAAGAAGGCCUUCGGGUUGUAAAGUACUUUCAGCGGGGAGGAAGGUGUUGCGGUUAAUAACCGCAGCAAUUGACGUUACCCGCAGAAGAAGCACCGGCUAACUCCGUGCCAGCAGCCGCGGUAAUACGGAGGGUGCAAGCGUUAAUCGGAAUUACUGGGCGUAAAGCGCACGCAGGCGGUCUGUCAAGUCGGAUGUGAAAUCCCCGGGCUCAACCUG
rnacentral:rRNA from 1 species